rnacentral:rRNA from 1 species
AGUGAACGCUGGCGGUAGGCCUAACACAUGCAAGUCGAACGGCAGCACAGUAAGAGCUUGCUCUUACGGGUGGCGAGUGGCGGACGGGUGAGGAAUACAUCGGAAUCUACUUUUUCGGGGGGGAUAACGUAGGGAAACUUACGCUAAUACCGCAUACGACCUACGGGUGAAAGCAGGGGAUCUUCGGACCUUGCGCGAUUGAAUGAGCCGAUGUCGGAUUAGCUAGUUGGCGGGGGAAAGGCCCACCAAGGCGACGAUCCGUAGCUGGUCUGAGAGGAUGAUCAGCCACACUGGAACUGAGACACGGUCCAGACUCCUACGGGAGGCAGCAGUGGGGAAUAUUGGACAAUGGGCGCAAGCCUGAUCCAGCCAUACCGCGUGGGUGAAGAAGGCCUUCGGGUUGUAAAGCCCUUUUGUCGGGAAAGAAAAGCAGCAGGUUAAUACCCCGCUGUUCUGACGGUACCCAAAGAAUAAGCACCGGCUAACUUCGUG